ACUAUUGCAGGUUGUUUUUGUCCAGACAACAAAACCAGAGCAAACAGAGACUCACAUAUCUGUGUAGACCACUGCAAAUUUUGCCAUGGACCAUUCGGGGAACCUAAACCACUUGGUGUAGUGUGGCAAUCCAACUGUCACAG